CCUGCACCACAGCCACAGCAACAUGGGAUCCAAGUCUCCUCUGUGACCUACACUGCAGCUCAUGGCAACGCCAGAUCCUUAACCUACGGAGAAAGUCCAGGGUUAGAACCUUCGUCCUCAUGGAUACUAGUCGGGUUUGUUACUGCUGAACCGCAAUGGGAACUCCAUUUAUGAUGGCUACUAUAUGAUAUUCCACUGUGUGAAUAUAUGACUGUUCAUUCUGUAUUUAGGCUACUUUUGGACUUUCCCUGUUAUGAACAAUACUACCGUGAAUAUUCUUGUACAUGUUUUCCCAGUGUCCCUGUACACCAAUUUGGAUAAAAACCUGGGAGGGAAAAUGUUUGUUGUAAGCCUAUCAAAGUUUAACUUUAAAAGAUAGUGCCAAACUGUACCCAAAGUGGCUGCAGCAGUUCAUACAUAUUCCCACCAGCAGCAUAUGAGAGACCCUAUGGGUCUCUGUCCUUACCAGCAUUUGGUAUUGCCAGAUAUAUUGCAUUUAUACUCAGGAAAAGAACAUUUCUUAAAAACACAAAAAGGAACAGAAACAAAAUUGCCUUGCCCUCCUUCCCCCUAUAUUCUGGGAAAGAUUCAGGGCACAGGAGGUGGUGUAUAAAACUAUUUCCCCACCAACAGCUUUUCAGAAUCUUCUAGCUCUAGAAACCCUCUUCUAGCAAUGAAGUGGAAACAAUGUGGGGGUGUGAGAAGUAGGGAAACUGCAGAAUUUUGUGUCAUGGGGACUCUUUCCAGCAGAUGGGGAAAUUAUUCUGCAGAACCGAAUUAGAAAUCUCUCAUUCUCUCUGUCUUUCUGUCCUGCAAUGCAAACACUGGGUCAGACACCCUUUUAUUCUCUGCAGUAUGUUCCCAAGAUAUUCUCCUUGGAAAUAUCAGAGAACUGAACUGCUUACCUAGUGUCUUCUUUUUUUCUUGGCUACAGAGUAAGAACCCACCAGUUACACUAAGUGAGGUGAGGGGUCCCCUGCACAAGCACUGUGGAGAAUGAGGAAUUCAGAACCAUAGGAAUUGGAAAGCCUAUUUCAACAUUGGCACUCUGCUUGCCUCUUUCAAAAUUGAGUCCUAGUUUCGAUCACUUUGCAGCAGCCUGCGACGUGAUACAGAACACCAGAUGGACAGGAGAAUGUGUGUGGUUUUGCCCAUUGAUUCUGAGAAAGGGAGGGAGCCCAUGUAAAAUAUACAGAAAAACAACCAGGAUAAGCUUGAGAACCAAAGCUUGAUUCUCAACCUGGGAUUAUCAUUCAGCCUAGAGGAUGGCCCCCAGAGGCCGAGCUCCAGGGCAGUUUCACAAGGUAAACCAGCCUGCCUAAGAGAGUAGUUUCCCAGCUAGGCUUAGCAGGGUCCUCUCAAGGCCCUGCAUAAAGGAGGGGAGUCAGGGAGGCUGUUACCAUGCCAUUUUAUUUAUGAUAGAAAUAGAGGGAGUUCCUGUCGUGGCUCAGCAGUAACGAACCCGACUAGGAUCCAUGAGUACACCGGUUUGAUCCCUGGCCUCACUCAGGGAGUUAAGGAUCCAUCAUUGCGGUGAGCUGUGGUGUAGGUCACAGACACGGCUCGGAUCUUGCAUUGCUGUGGCUGUGAUGUGGCAGACAGCUGUAGCUUUGACUUGACUCCUAGCCUGGGACCUUCCAUAUGCCAUGGAUGCGGCCCUAGAAGGCAAAAAAAAGAAAAAAAGAAAAAGAAA
rnacentral:lncRNA from 1 species